rnacentral:rRNA from 1 species
CAGCAGCCGCGGUAAUACAGAGGAUGCAAGCGUUAUCCGGAAUGAUUGGGCGUAAAGCGUCUGUAGGUGGCUUUUCAAGUCCGCCGUCAAAUCCCAGGGCUCAACCCUGGACAGGCGGUGGAAACUACCAAGCUGGAGUACGGUAGGGGCAGAGGGAAUUUCCGGUGGAGCGGUGAAAUGCGUAGAGAUGUGGAGGAAUACCGAUGGCGAAGGCAGCCCCCUGGGCCAAUACUGACGCUCAUGCACGAAAGCGUGGGGAGCAAACAGGAUUAGAUACCCCUGUAGUCCCUGUCUCUUAUAC